GACGAACGCUGGCGGCGUGCUUAACACAUGCAAGUGGUGCGACGAACCAGGGCUUGCCCUGGGGCAAAGCCGCGAACGGGUGAGUAACACGUGAGUAACCUGCCCCGAUGACCGGGACAACCCGAGGAAACUCGGGCUAAUACCGGAUGUGGCGCACAGGCAUCAGCCUGUUCGCUAAAGGAAGCUUCGGCCUCCGCAUUGGGAGGGCUCGCGGCCCAUUAGCUUGUUGGUGGGGUAACGGCCUACCAAGGCAACGAUGGGUAGCUGGUCUGAGAGGACGAUCAGCCACACUGGGACUGAGACACGGCCCAGACUCCUACGGGAGGCAGCAGUGGGGAAUCUUGCGCAAUGCGCGAAAGCGUGACGCAGCAACGCCGCGU
rnacentral:rRNA from 1 species